rnacentral:lncRNA from 1 species
ACUGGAAACCAUUUGUUUGUUUGAGGGUUAUUUGGAGCUAUUGGGAGAUUGGAGAAUAAUCUAGGAAUCUAUUUUGAAACUUUCCCUAUUCUUCUUCCCUGGGAUAUUUUACUUGUUUACCAUUUUCUUUUCAUCUCAUUGGCAAAGAUUAGCCUAAAGCCUUCAUCCUGGCCAACACGAAAAUGUUGUCUUUUGAACUCCACUGAUAAAAUUUAAUGUGAUCAAGGUAUAUCAAAAUCCAUACUCCCUAUUCUCCUCAAUCUCCCUUCACAUUAAUUUCCUUAAUUUUAUCUUCUGCCAGUGGUUGCAUGGUAGAUAUGGUUUCAUUUGGCUGGAGUAGGAAGCAUAUAAGGAAGAAUAAACCCAAAAAAGUGGUUGUUUUGAAAUUAUAG